GAUAAACGCUGGCGGCGUGCUUAACACAUGCAAGUCGAACGAAGUUUUUCCUUCGGGUGCAACUUAGUGGCGGACGGGUGAGUAACGCGUGGGUAACCUGCCCUGUACAGGGGGACAACAGCUGGAAACGGCUGCUAAUACCGCAUAAGCCCUUAGCACUGCAUGGUGCAUAGGGAAAAGGAGCAAUCCGGUACAGGAUGGACCCGCGUCUGAUUAGCCAGUUGGCAGGGUAACGGCCUACCAAAGCGACGAUCAGUAGCCGAUCUGAGAGGAUGUACGGCCACAUUGGGACUGAGACACGGCCCAGACUCCUACGGGAGGCAGCAGUGGGGAAUAUUGCACAAUGGAGGAAACUCUGAUGCAGCGACGCCGCGUGAGUGAAGAAGUAUUUCGGUAUGUAAAGCUCUAUCAGCAGGGAAGAAAAUGACGGUACCUGACGAAGAAGCACCGGCUAAAUACGUG
rnacentral:rRNA from 1 species